AAGCCCUUGCUGCGGGAGCUGUAGUUUACUUUCAGUUUCUUCUAUGCUGACUGUCGUGUGCUGCCUGUUGUGCCCUAAGACGGGGCACAUGGAACAAGUUACCCCAGCCCCCCCUGCUGCCUUUGAUAAUCGCAGCAGUGCACUAUUGCACUGCUGAGCUGGAAACAUGAAUGGUCCGAAAAGGGGGCGGAGCUACACGGCACUUUACUCAGUGCCAGGCCAGCCAGCACCAUUGAAGAGAGGAGGGGAGAGGAGCAGCAGCAGCACACACCAAAGCCUAAAUAUGUUAGAAAAAAGCUGUACUACUCGUCCUACAGUAACUCCCAUCACAUCUGAUGAUGAUGACGCUGCGGAAACAGGUCCAUCAAAAGAAGUCUGGAGCAGCAGAAGUGGGACUUCUGUAAGACACCACCACAAAAAACCUGUGGCAGCAAAGAAAGCAAGGUCUGAUGUCCAGGGCCAACCACAGCAGGCUACCCCGCCACGAAGAAUAUCCACAGUAUGUUCGGUCCCCCCACUCCAAAUUUUGGACACACCUCCAAGACUUCAACCACACUCCCCUCAUCUUGAUUGUAUCAAACUGAAAUAAAUGUAAACAAUUUCAGACCGUAAUCAAACUUUUUCUUAACAGCAUUAAGUCAAAGCACAUCAAAAUCUUAUAUACUUACCAAACUUCUAGUCCUGGAAACAGCAUCCCUCCGCAACAACAGCAACACAGUGACAUGGAUGAGACAAUAAUCUUAGAAAUGCAGCCAUUAAUCCAAGGAAUCAGCCCCCCAGCACCUGUGAGUACACCACCACAGCAAAGCACACCACCACCACAACACAGCCCAACAACACCAGUAACACAAGGCCCUGAUCAGGUAUUUUGGACCAUUUGGGCUAGACAGCAGGCCACUAAUGAAGAUUGCCUGCGUAGGCAGACACAAAUGUUUGCAAGCCUACCAUGUCACCUCAGAAGAAUAACCAGAAAUAUGAGUAGACAAAAUGAACAAACCUCGAGAAUUGGCAAUACCAUGGAACUCAUGCGUACAGACAUUACACAGGUCAUGGGCAACUUACAGCGCAUAAUGGAAGAACAGCACAGACUAAUGGAAGAAUAGCACAGACAACAGCAAAGUUAUAUGAACAUUUUUCAAAACAAUCAAAAGAUAAAUUAAAGUUUAUUCCGAAUUGUAGACAAUCAAAAUGCUGCUACACGUGAACUCAAUGCCACCCUCACUAACCUGAAUGAAACACUCAGAUCCAUGCACCAACAGCAAAUAAGCAGCAGUUCUGGUACGACUACUCCAAAUAUCAUGCCAGUCUCAUCACCAACAAGAUGCUCCACCAGAGCACGACAACAUGACAUUGCUAAAGGCAAAGGGCAGGACAAGCAGGCACCCAAAAAAAAUAACAACCAAAAAUUAAUUUCUCCAUUUCUGAUAAGUUAAUCAAAAUAGUUAGUAAUUGUAUGUUUGCCAAAAUAUAUAUAACACUUAGCUCCUUGACAAUUUAUACAACAUCAUUAAUUAUAAGUGGUACAAACAACAACAUGAAAUGUGUACGCACAUUUAUUCUUUAACAUCUUUGAUUUUUUUUUUGGAGGAGGGUAAUGUUGUUAAAACAGCACAUACAUGUUAGCAGGAAGUAACCAGACCACUUGAUUUUUUUCUAAUCAUUACUCUUUCUAGAUUCCAAUCAUUCUCCUAUCCUGCACACACAAUCAUUGCCAGGCAGCCACCAUAUGUUUAGCAGGAAGUAACCAGACCACUUGAUUUUUUUCUAAUCAUUACUCUUUCUAGAUUCCAAUCAUUCUACUAUCCUGCAGCCAAUACAAAUUACAAUCUGAUUGUUAACCCUUUUACAUUUCUUCUCUGUACAACAUUACAAGAUUAACACAAUUUAGUUGCCUAAAAAGCUUUUAAUAUGUUGUCAAUGAAUUCAGAUAUUUCAGUGCCAAAUUGAAUGUCAUUAUUGUUGGGCCAUGUUUGUGUGUGUUAAAAAUUAGUAAUAAUGUUGUUACAUAUGAUGCAAAAACCAAAAAAUAUGUAAUUUUUAACCAAAAAAAUAAUAAUGUGUAUAAUAAUGUAUAUAUGUGGCAAACUGUGUAUUUACUGACAAAUCAGCAAGUUUACUGCAGCAAACAUUACAAAAUAAAUCAUUUUUUAAGAUAGUAAGUUUGUUGCCCUUAAAUACGAUGGAGCAUCACACAUAGGGACACAUGUAUUCCUCAAAGCUAACAUAUUAUAUGUUGAGGAGUGUUUAUUUAGAAGACAGGUUCUCAAACUCGGCCCUCAGGAACCCACACAGUGCAUGUUUUGCAGGUCUAAUCACAGAUUCACAAGUGACAUAAUUAGCUCCACCUGUGAACCUUUUAAAAGGUGUCUGAGUAAUUCAUACACCUGUGCUUCUACUGGGUUACGUGCAAAACAUGCACUGUGUGGGGUCCUGAGGGCCGAGUUUGAAAACCUGUGCAUUAGGACGUAACACACAAUCAUAAAGUAAAAUACUAAAUGGAUUAUGUGUGCUUGUAAUAAAUUAGCAGUGCAAGUUUACGAACACUUAUCCAGACUUAAUGCA